rnacentral:rRNA from 1 species
GUCUACGGCCAUACCACCCUGAACGUGCCCGAUCUCGUCUGAUCUCGGAAGCUAAGCAGGGUCGGGCCUGGUUAGUACUUGGAUGAGAAAAUUACUCAGUAAUUAGUAUUUAGAAU